CUCUGGUGAGCCUCAGUCACUCCUGACCUGUAUGGGCACCAAGGUCCUUUUCUGGGUGGGCUUCUGUCUCCUGGGAGCAGGUAAUUACUCAGAACAAGCAGGUUCAUUGUAUGUGUGUGGGUGUAUAUGUGUGUAUUCACAUGUAUUAUGUGUGUGCGAGCGUGCAUGUUGACUAUAAGAUUUUUCUCAUUCUUUUCCCAUCUUCUUUCUCCACAGACCACACCCAUGCUGGAGUCUCCCAGUCCCCCAGGCACAGGGUCACAAAGACAGGAGAGAACAUAGCUCUCAGGUGUGAUCCAGUUCCUGGACACGUUAGCCUUUACUGGUACCGACAGACCCUGGGGCAAGGCCUGGAGUUCUUGAUGUCUUUCCAGUAUGAACGUGCAGCAGAUGAGUCAGGGAUGCCUAGUGAGCGGUUCUCUGCUGAGAGGCCACAGGGAUCCUUCUCCACUCUGGAGAUUAAGCUCACAGAGCCCGGGGACUCGGCUGUGUACCUCUGUGCCAGCAGCUCAGCCACAGUGUGGCACAGACUCCUCUGUCCUGCUCACAAACCU
rnacentral:lncRNA from 1 species